UUCGGUCUGGUGGCGAGUGGCGAACGGGUGAGUAAUAUAUCGGAACGUAUCCAAUAAUGGGGGAUAGCUAAUCGAAAGGUUGGCUAAUACCGCAUACGCCCUACAGGGGAAAGCUAGGGACCUUCGGGCCUGGCGUUAAUGGAGCGGCCGAUAUCUGAUUAGCUAGUUGGUGAGGUAAAGGCUCACCAAGGCGACGAAUCAGUAGCUGGUCUGAGAGGACGACCAGCCACACUGGAACUGAGACACGGUCCAGACUCCUACGGGAGGCAGCAGUGGGGAAUUUUGGACAAUGGGCGCAAGCCUGAUCCAGCCAUUCCGCGUGAGUGAAGAAGGCCUUCGGGUUGUAAAGCUCUUUCGCAAGGGAAGAAAGAUUACUCUCUAACAUAGAGUGAUUAUGACGGUACCUUGAUAAGAAGCACCGGCUAACUACGUGCCAGCAGCCGCGGUAAUACGUAGGGUGCGAGCGUUAAUCGGAAUUACUGGGCGUAAAGCGUGCGCAGGCGGUUUUGUAAGUCAGAUGUGAAAUCCCCGAGCUCAACUUGGGAACUGCGUUUGAAACUACAAGACUAGAAUAUGUCAGAAGGGGGUAGAAUUCCACGUGUAGCAGUGAAAUGCGUGGAGAUGUGGAGGAAUACCAAUGGCGAAGGCAGCCCCCUGGGAUAAUAUUGACGCUCAUGCACG
rnacentral:rRNA from 1 species